AUUGAACGCUGGCGGCAUGCCUUACACAUGCAAGUCGAACGGUAACAGGUCUUCGGAUGCUGACGAGUGGCGAACGGGUGAGUAAUGCAUCGGAACGUGCCCAGUAGUGGGGGAUAGCCCGGCGAAAGCUGGAUUAAUACCGCAUACGACCUGAGGGUGAAAGGGGGGGAUCGCAAGACCUCUCGCUAUUGGAGCGGCCGAUGUCAGAUUAGCUAGUUGGUGGGGUAAAGGCCUACCAAGGCAACGAUCUGUAGUUGGUCUGAGAGGACGACCAGCCACACUGGAACUGAGACACGGCCCAGACUCCUACGGGAGGCAGCAGUGGGGAAUUUUGGACAAUGGGCGCAAGCCUGAUCCAGCAAUGCCGCGUGCAGGAAGAAGGCCUUCGGGUUGUAAACUGCUUUUGUCAGGGAAGAAAUCUUCUGGGUUAAUACCUCGGGAGGAUGACGGUACCUGAAGAAUAAGCACCGGCUAACUACGUGCCAGCCGCCGCCGUAAAAC
rnacentral:rRNA from 1 species